rnacentral:rRNA from 1 species
UUGCAACAAAUGUUUAUUAUCUAACUGUUUAACUAAAACACAGGUCUGUGCAAAGCCGAAAGGCAACGUAUACAGGCUGAGGCCUGCCCAGUGCUAGUAGAUCAAAAAUGGGGGUGAAUUCCCCGCCUUUGGCGGGGAGCAGCUCUUGUUCAAAGUCCUAGUGAACGGCAGCAGUAACUAUAACUGUUCUAUGGUAGCGAAGUUCCUCGACAGGGGGCCUUGUGACAAUCUAAACGUCAUAGGGUUAAUUUGACUAUAUGCUGGAAUAUCUGAAGUAUCUUGCACUACCCGACAAAAUAAUAUAACAUGGAUUAAUGUCGGGUGACAAUGUGACAAGUGCAGACAAUCAGCAGGGAACGUUGUAUUAUUUCACCGGCUUUAUAGUCGGCGAAGGUUCCAUAAGUAUAAUUAAAGCGUCAAAUAAAGGGACGGGGCGAGGUUUUUACUUUGCUUUGGAUUUAACUGUCAGUAACUCCGAUCUAAUUUUAUUAAAAGAAUUAAAUCAGGUUGUUGCUUGCGGAAAGGGAAUUACUUCUCUUAUAAAAGGAGGCUAUAACCUUUCAAUUCGAGGUAAAGAUAAAAUAAAACCGGCGUUGUCUUUUUUAAACAAAUUUCCACCUCCAGCCGGAGAUCUUUUUAAAGAAAAACUUAAUAUUCUUAAAAAGGCUCUGGAAAUUUUAUCAGUUAAAAACUAUAAAGUUCAGGAGAUUGAAAAAUUACGCCAACGACUUAAGGAAAUAAAAGUAACCGCAAGAGUGGUCAAACAUUUUCCAGUAAUAUUCGAAACAAAAAAUGUGGGGUAUUUUCUUUCAGGGAUUGUAGAUGCAGAAGGGUCAAUGGGAUGGCGAAAGUCGGGUAACCGGCAACAGCCAUAUUUCUGUGUGCUUAUGCGCGAAGAAGCCAUUAUUGACUUAUUUAUUAAGCAAUUUGGUUUCGGGCAUAAAUAUUAUCGUCCGAAUGAGAAACUUUAUCAUUUUGAAACAGGUAAAAAGGGAGAUGUGGCUAAACUUGCAGAUUAUUUUUUAAAUAAGUUUCCGGUUAAAUUGGUAAAAAAUCGCCAACGACUGGAAAAUUUACAACGACUCCUCAACGACUAAACGCCAAAUGAUGUACCGCAUGGUGCGUCAAUGAUAUAGUCUGAACUCCAAUGCGAAUUGGAGAAUUGAUAACAGAAUGUGUCGGGUGAAUCUUGAAAAAAAGAUUUACUUGCCCGAAAUCAUCGUAAGGUGAUACACUCGGGAAUCGCUAAAAUUUUAUUAGUUAAACAAAUGUAUUUCGUGCAAAUGAGUGUAAAAUCUGUCUAUAUGCUGGAAUAAUCGUUGAAUCUUGAACUACUUUAGUUUAUGAUUAGAGUAACAAUGUUUCAAGUGCGAUCAAUCAGCAGGAAAGACUAUUGAGUAAAGAAUAAAAAUUUAAUAAGGUUUAAAGACAAGAAAUUAUUUUAAUACUCAAAGUAUCCUCAGAGACUACACGACAGAUCCCGUCCACGAUUUCGAUCGGGACGUGGAAUGAUAUAGUCCAAAUAAUGAAGUUCCGACCCGCACGAACGGCAGAAUGAGAUAAUAACUGUCUUAGCCAAAAAUCCGGCGAAAUUGAAAUGGCUGUGAAGAUGCGGCCUAGUCUUGCCUGGACAAAAAGACCCCGUGGAGCUUUACUGCAGCUUGACAUUGUUGAUUUAUUUUCAAUUAUUUAGCAAUAGGUGGGAUCCCGCCCUCGGGCGUGGAGACAAUGAAAGACCACUUUUUGAAAAUGAGGAGACUAACCCGCGCCCAAUAAAGAUUUGGGGUGGGGACAUUGUCUGGUGGGCAGUUUAACUGGGGAGGUUGACUCCUAAAUUGUAACGGAGUCGUACAAAGGUACGCUAGUCCCGGAUGGAAAUCGGGAUGAUAGUGCAAACGCAUAAGCGUGCUUGACUGUGAGACCUACAAGUCGAACAGAAACGAAAGUUGGUGUUAGUGAUCCUCUCUCGCCUUAUGGUAGGCGGAGAGCUUAACGGAUAAAAGCUACCCCGGGGAUACAAAUGUGUCCUUUACGGCUAAUAACGGUGAAGCCUUUUAUACUUGAGGGUUUGAGAAAAGUCUUUUCCCUCUACGAGGAGUAUAAUUGUGUAAUACCGUGGGAAGUCCCGAUCGCGGAUCGUGGACCCCGUAUCGACUUAUUCUCUUUAUGAGAUUUAUGGAGAAAAAAAUAUAUCGACUCCAUAAUACGCCGUGCUCUCUGAAUUAAAUAAAUUUAGAGGGAAGAUAUAGUCAGUACCAAAACGAAAGUUUGGAGUAAUUUAUAUACGAACAGGCUGAUCUCGCCCAAGCGUCCACAGCGACGGCGUGGUUUGGCACCUCGAUGUCGGCUCAUCCUAUCCUGGGGCUGAAGAAGGUCCCAAGGGUCCGGCUGUUCGCCGGUUAAAAGGGUACGCGAGCUGGGUUC